rnacentral:rRNA from 1 species
AAUAUGCCCAGAUCUACGGAAUAGCCUCGGGAAACUGAGAGUAAUACCGUAUACGCCCUUCGGGGGAAAGAUUUAUCGGAUUUGGAUUAGCCCGCGUUGGAUUAGGUAGUUGGUGGGGUAAUGGCCUACCAAGCCUACGAUCCAUAGCUGGUUUGAGAGGAUGAUCAGCAACACUGGGACUGAGACACGGCCCAGACUCCUACGGGAGGCAGCAGUGGGGAAUCUUAGACAAUGGGGGAAACCCUGAUCUAGCCAUGCCGCGUGAGUGACGAAGGCCCUAGGGUCGUAAAGCUCUUUCGCCAGGGAUGAUAAUGACAGUACCUGGUAAAGAAACCCCGGCUAACUCCGUGCCAGCAGCCGCGGUAAUACGGAGGGGGUUAGCGU